rnacentral:rRNA from 1 species
UACGUAGGCAGCGAGCGUUGUUCGGAGUUACUGGGCGUAAAGGGUGUGUAGGCGGUUUGGUGAGGCUGGUGUGAAAUCUCCCGGCUCAACUGGGAGGGUGCGCCGGAAACUGCCGGACUAGAGUGCGGGAGAGGAGAGUGGAAUUCCUGGUGUAGCGGUGAAAUGCGUAGAUAUCAGGAGGAACACCGGUGGUGUAGACGGCUCUCUGGACCGUAACUGACGCUGAGACACGAAAGCGUGGGUAGCAAACAGG